UACGGGGGGAGCAAGCGUUGUUCGGAUUUACUGGGCGUAAAGGGCGCGUAGGCGGCCACCGCAAGUCGACUGUGAAAUCUCCGGGCUUAACCCGGAAAGGUCAGCCGAUACUGCGGGGCUAGAGUGCAGAAGGGGCAACUGGAAUUCUCGGUGUAGCGGUGAAAUGCGCAGAUAUCAGGAGGAACACCAGCGGCGGAAGGCGGGUUGCUGGGCUGACACUGACGCUGAUGCGCGAAAGCUAGGGGAGCGAACGGG
rnacentral:rRNA from 1 species